CAGUAGCCACGGUAAAACGUAGGUUGCAAGCGUUGUCCGGAAUUAUUGGGCGUAAAGGGCUCGCAGGCGGCUUCUUAAGUCUGAUGUGAAAGCCCCCGGCUCAACCGGGGAGGGUCAUUGGAAACUGGGAAACUUGAGUGCAGAAGAGGAGAGUGGAAUUCCACGUGUAGCGGUGAAAUGCGUAGAGAUGUGGAGGAACACCAGUGGCGAAGGCGACUCUCUGGUCUGUAACUGACGCUGAGGAGCGAAAGCGUGGGGAGCGAACAGGAUUAGAUACCCCAGUAGUCCCUGUCUCUUAUAA
rnacentral:rRNA from 1 species